rnacentral:miRNA from 1 species
AUAGAGUGGGUGUGUGCUCUUG